AGCGAACGCUGGCGGCAGGCCUAACACAUGCAAGUCGAACGGAUCCUUCGGGAUUAGUGGCGGACGGGUGAGUAACACGUGGGAACGUGCCCUUUGGUUCGGAACAACUCAGGGAAACUUGAGCUAAUACCGGAUGUGCCCUUCGGGGGAAAGAUUUAUCGCCAUUGGAGCGGCCCGCGUCUGAUUAGCUAGUUGGUGAGGUAACGGCCCACCAAGGCGACGAUCAGUAGCUGGUCUGAGAGGAUGAUCAGCCACACUGGGACUGAGACACGGCCCAGACUCCUACGGGAGGCAGCAGUGGGGAAUCUUGCGCAAUGGGCGAAAGCCUGACGCAGCCAUGCCGCGUGAAUGAUGAAGGUCUUAGGAUUGUAAAAUUCUUUCAGCGGCGACGAUAAUGACGGUACCCGCAGAAGAAGCUCCGGCUAACUUCGUG
rnacentral:rRNA from 1 species